UGCGCGGCAGACGAAGUUUGUUGUUGUACCGGGUCCCGCGCGCUAUACUAUAACCUCGCAUCGUCGUUUCGCAGUUCGAGAAGAUGUCAUCGUGCACGGAUCUGUUGCGGCUUAACGAGAAACGACUGUUCAAGGACAUCAGAGCGAGCCUGUCGUGCGGUGCUAAGGAGACACGCAACAUCCUUGAAGUACGCGACAACGUGCUGUACGCGUGGAAUGCGGACAAGCGUUGCGUGCAUACAUUCAACGUCGCGGCGACUCGGGGCAAACUCGGCGAAGACGUCCCUUAUCAGUCGCUACAACCAAUGGAUCCACCAAUUUUUGAUAUCACGAAUGUACUGAUAAAUGAGACAGCAACGCAGUUAGCAUUAUGGGGCAACUUGGGUAUCGCUCUCAUGGAGCUACCGAAACGAUGGGGCAAGGACGCCGUUUACGAGGGCGGCAAGGAAGUGAUUCUCUGCACAAGUCAUAAUUUUGCAGAUUUUGGGGCAACCGCGGAAAUUCAACGAACGCGAUGGCAUCCGGGUUCUCCGAAUGACUCGCAUUUAUUGGUUUUGACAUCAGAGAACUCUUUUCGUUUGUACGAGUGCGACCUGGGUGGUGCACCCAGACUCAUAAAAUGCUGGAAGGUCGGCCGCGCACCAUCGAGUUCGCCCUCGAAGAUCCCAGGUUUUGCAUCCCUUGGUGAGGCUGCGGUAGAUUUCGAUUUUGCCACUCCUACCCUGAGAAAACCGGAGAUGUUUGCCGACAAGAGCAUCGAUGAGGUAAAAAACAUGGUCGAUUGGAAUCAGAUCGAAUGGCCGAUUUUGGUUCUCCGUGGAAAUGGUGAAGUGCUGAUCGUUCAUGGGAACAUCUUAUUGGAAAACUACGAGAAUCCAGUGGUAUUUGGUUCGUUGUCUAUGUAUCCUCCGACCGACGAUAAUUACGGAAUAGAUUCAUGCUCUAUCAUGUGCCUGCAAACUACCCCACCGAUAGUGGUCAUCGCCAUGUGCACUGGAAAGAUUUAUCACGCGAUACUAUUGCGCGAAAUAUUGGACGACGAGGACAACAAGGACGACAGAAAGACUUGGUCGCAGUAUGGCUCAAACUACAGUCUUCACACUCCAGACGACGCACUUUACGUCUACGAGUGUGUCGAAUUGGAGCUCGGUCUCCUCUUCACAGAUGACGAUAAAAAGUAUAAUUGUCCUAUCCAUCUUCACAGUGAUAAGAGCAAUAAAUCCAGAUAUUUUUGCUCUCAUAAUGCCGGGAUUCACAUGGUGAGUUUACCGAUGGUUUCUCAACUGGAGGAAUUUAUACAUGAUAACAGCGGGAAUUACUUACCAUCUUUGUCAAACCAAUCAACUUUGCAAUAUCUAUUCUCUAUGAGAACAAAGCACACGAAUAUAGACGAAGCUACGCCGAUACUCGGUUUCGGUCUACUUCAAGAACCUUGUGUUUUAAUCGCAUUGCUGCAUACAGGCAUCGUGAUAGAUCUUUCGGUUAUAGAUCUUUAUUAUCUCCCAAAGAUCGAACAACUGGAACCUAUCGCCAAUACUACGAAAAAGGUAAAUAAGGAACCCUUCGACAUGUAUAUCAGAAGAUUACUAAGACGCGAAAUAUCACAACCCAUAACGAAAAUAGGAUCUCGCUCGAUGUCCUUGAGCGAAUCCCUAGAGUUUUUGUAUCAUGCCACAAAUAUUUUUCGCACUCAACAUUUUGUUCAACACGACAAAGUUCGGGAAGAAAUCAGUAAGAAGGUCCGCGCUUUGAAAGCUUUGAAAACUCAUCUAUUAAAAGAACUCGAUAUUCUGAUGGAGACAAAGAAAGAAUUGCGCCACACUGCUGAACAUUUAGCCGAACGAUACGAAGAUAUCAAUGAUAAGCAGAAAGAAUUGGCGCGUAGAGCAGAGGAAGCUUUAAGAUUGGUAAAUUACAAGGAACCAUCAAUGACUGCUGUCGAGCGAGCAGAGGCAGAGGAAUUGAAGAAAAUGAACAUAAAGAUACAUGGCAUGCAGAUAAGACUUGAACAACUUAAGAAAAAAUCUAUUCAACAAAUCAAACAUGUAGACGCUUCCGAAUCUAAUGAAAAAAGAAAAGAAAUUGUUUUUACACAUAGCCAAGAAAAAGUGAUACAGGAGACUCUUUCUCAAAUGGCAAAAAAUAUAAAAAAUUUGAUGGAUCAAGCAAAACAUAUUAAAGCAGAAAUUGAUCUUUCAUACAUUAACAAACAAUAAUAGCAAAUAUUAAUCUCUUAACUCAAAAUAUGGAGGUGCCCACUGCUGCGUUAAUGGGGAUGCAGCAACUACUGGUUUGAGCUGUUUGUUUAAUGGAAUGAGGAUCUGCAAGUUUUGAUUGUAGCCCAAAAAUGGCAGCCAGAUUAGAUCUGAAAAUACAAUAAAG